GACAGCAGCCGCCACGGUAAUACGUAGGUCCCGAGCGUUGUCCGGAUUUAUUGGGCGUAAAGCGAGCGCAGGCGGUUAGAUAAGUCUGAAGUUAAAGGCUGUGGCUUAACCAUAGUACGCUUUGGAAACUGUUUAACUUGAGUGCAAGAGGGGAGAGUGGAAUUCCAUGUGUAGCGGUGAAAUGCGUAGAUAUAUGGAGGAACACCGGUGGCGAAAGCGGCUCUCUGGCUUGUAACUGACGCUGAGGCUCGAAAGCGUGGGGAGCAAACAGGAUUAGAGACCCGCGUAGUCCCUGUCUCUUAUACA
rnacentral:rRNA from 1 species